AGCGGAUUAGUGGCGAACGCGUGAGUAACACGUGGGCAAUCUGCCCUGCACUCUGGGACAAGCCCUGGAAACGGGGUCUAAUACCGGAUACGACACAUCACUGCAUGGUGAAUGUGUGGAAAGCUCCGGCGGUGCAGGAUGAGCCCGCGGCCUAUCAGCUUGUUGGUGGGGUAAUGGCCUACCAAGGCGACGACGGGUAGCCGGCCUGAGAGGGCGACCGGCCACACUGGGACUGAGACACGGCCCAGACUCCUACGGGAGGCAGCAGUGGGGAAUAUUGCACAAUGGGCGAAAGUCUAUGCAGCGACGCCGCGUGAGGCAUGACGGCCUUCGGGUUGGAAACCCCUCUUAGCAGCCACAAGCGCAAGAACCGAACCUGCAGUAGAAGCCCCGGCUCGCUACGUGCCAGCAGCCGCGGGAAUACGUAGGGUGCGAGCGUUGUCCGGAAAUAUUGGGCGCAAAGAGCUCGUAGGCGGCGUGUCAAGUCCGAUGUGAAAGCCCGGGGCUUAACCCCGGGCCUGCAUUCGAUACGGCAGGCUAGAGGUCGGGA
rnacentral:rRNA from 1 species